rnacentral:rRNA from 1 species
GCUCAAAACUCAAAGGACUUGACGGUGUCCCAAACCAACCUAGAGGAGCCUGUCCUAUAAUCGAUAAUCCACGCUACACCUUACCCCCCCUUGAAACCAGUCUGUAUACCGCCGUCUCCAGUUCGCCUUAUGACAGACCCAUCGCGAACAUAAUGGUAAUACCACUAAAACGUCAGGUCAAGGUGCAGCCAACGGGGGGGCAGCGAUGGGCUACAUUUUCUACCCUAUCAGAACAACACCACCCACCUUAUGAAACAUAGGUCACAAGGCGGAUUUAGCAGUAAGCCAGACA